rnacentral:rRNA from 1 species
GACGAACCGUGCGAACGUUGUUCGGAUUCACUGGGCUUAAAGGGCGCGUAGGCGGCUCGCCAAGUCAGGGGUGAAAUCUUUCGGCUUAACCGGAAAACAGCUUCUGAUACUGGCGGGCUGGAGGGAGGUAGGGGCAGAUGGAACUUCCGGUGGAGCGGUGAAAUGCGUAGAGAUCGGAAAGAACACCAACGGCGAAAGCACUCUGCUGGGCCGACACUGACACUGAGAGACGAAAGCUAGGGGGAGCGAAUGGG